GCCAGGCAGCCAGGAUGACAGCUCUCCCCAGGAACCCUGCUGCCUGCUGAGGAACAUGAUCAGCAAGUCCCGCUGGAAGCUGCUGGCCAUGCUGGCUUUGGUGCUGGUCGUCAUGGUGUGGUAUUCCAUCUCCCGAGAGGACAGUUUUUACUUUCCCAUCCCAGAGAAGAGGGAGCCGUGCCUCCAGGGUGAGGCAGAGAGGAAGGCCUCUAAGCUCUUUGGCAACUACUCCCGAGAUCAGCCCAUCUUCCUGCAGCUUAAGGAUUAUUUCUGGGUCAAGACACCGUCUGCCUACGAGCUGCCUUAUGGGACCAAAGGGAGUGAAGACCUGCUCCUCCAAGUGCUAGCCAUCACCAGCCACUCUGUGCCCCAGAGCAUCCAGAGCCUCAAGUGCCGCCGCUGCGUGGUGGUGGGGAACGGGCACUGGCUGUGCAACAGCUCGCUGGGAGACACCAUCAACAAGUACAAUGUGGUCAUCAGUCUGAACAAUGCCCCAGUGGCUGGCUAUGAGGGCGAUGUGGGCUCCAAGACCACCAUGCGUCUCUUCUACCCUGAAUCUGCCCACUUUGACCCCAAAGUGGAAAACAACCCAGAGACACUUCUGGUCCUGGUGGCUUUCAAGGCGAUGGACUUCCACUGGAUCGAGACUAUCCUGAGCGAUAAGAAGCGGGUGCGAAAAGGUUUUUGGAGACAGCCUCCCCUCAUCUGGGAAGUCAACCCCAAACAGAUUCAGAUUCUCAACCCCUUCUUCAUGGAGAUCGCGGCUGACAAGCUGCUGAGCCUGCCAAUGCAGCAGCUACGAAAGAUCAAGCAGAAGCCCACUACAGGCUUGCUGGCCAUCACCCUGGCCCUCCACCUGUGUGACCUGGUGCACAUCGCUGGCUUUGGCUACCCAGACGCCUACAACAAGAAGCAGACUAUUCAUUACUACGAGCAGAUCACACUCAAGUCCAUGGCGGGGUCCGGCCAUAAUGUCUCCCAGGAGGCCCUGGCCAUUAAGCGGAUGCUGGAGAUCGGAGCCAUCAAGAACCUCACAUCUGAGUUCCAAGGAGGCAAAAUCUAA